rnacentral:rRNA from 1 species
UACGAAGGGGGCGAGCGUUGUUCGGAUUUACUGGGCGUAAAGCGCACGUAGGCGGAUCGUUAAGUCGGGGGUGAAAUCCUGGAGCUCAACUCCAGAACUGCCUUCGAUACUGGAGAGCUUGAGUCCGGGAGAGGUGAGUGGAACUGCGAGUGUAGAGGUGAAAUUCGUAGAUAUUCGCAAGAACACCAGUGGCGAAGGCGGCUCACUGGCCCGGGUACUGACGCUGAGGUGCGAAAGCGUGGGGAGCAAACAGG